rnacentral:rRNA from 1 species
GAUGAACGCUGGCGGCGUGCCUAAUACAUGCAAGUCGAGCGAACGGACGAGAAGCUUGCUUCUCUGAUGUUAGCGGCGGACGGGUGAGUAACACGUGGAUAACCUACCUAUAAGACUGGGAUAACUUCGGGAAACCGGAGCUAAUACCGGAUGAUAUUUUGAACCGCAUGGUUCAAAAGUGAAAGACGGUCUUGCUGUCACUUAUAGAUGGAUCCGCGCUGCAUUAGCUAGUUGGUAAGGUAACGGCUUACCAAGGCAACGAUGCAUAGCCGACCUGAGAGGGUGAUCGGCCACACUGGAACUGAGACACGGUCCAGACUCCUACGGGAGGCAGCAGUAGGGAAUCUUCCGCAAAGGGCGAAAGCCUGACGGAGCAACGCCGCGUGAGUGAUGAAGGUCUUCGGAUCGUAAAACUCUGUUAUUAGGGAAGAACAUAUGUGUAAGUAACUGUGCACAUCUUGACGGUACCUAAUCAGAGAGCCACGGCUAACUACGUG